AUCACUUUUUGAUGACUAUAUCACAUGGCACGUGGAUUACGUAGCUAAAUAUUAACGGAUGGAGGUUGAGGGGAUUAGUAUGGGAAAAGAUACUGCAGCAGCCCAUCAGGACUCACAUCAGUGGUUCAGACAAGAUUACAGCUGUGGCAUGAAAGUGAUGAAUCUGAUGAGCUGUUGCAGAAUAGCAGAGGGCAACAUGAUGAAUCUGCUAAUGGUGGGACACUGGUAAGAGAGGUCAUCAGGAGGAGAAGUCCAGUGACAGAAGGACAGACACCACUGACCUCUUGGCAUAUUUGGAAGAUGUGGAAGAAACAAUUAAUGAAAUAGUCAGUAACAGCAUU